AAUAGAUACCCUGGUAGUCCACCCCGUAAACGUUGGGAACUAGUUGUGGGGUCCUUUCCACGGAUUCCGUGACGCAGCUAACGCAUUAAGUUCCCCGCCUGGGGAGUACGGCCGCAAGGCUAAAACUCAAAGGAAUUGACGGGGACCCGCACAAGCGGCGGAGCAUGCGGAUUAAUUCGAUGCAACGCGAAGAACCUUACCAAGGCUUGACAUACACCGGAAACGGCCAGAGAUGGUCGCCCCGCAAGGUCGGUGUACAGGUGGUGCAUGGUUGUCGUCAGCUCGUGUCGUGAGAUGUUGGGUUAAGUCCCGCAACGAGCGCAACCCUCGUUCUAUGUUGCCAGCACGUCAUGGUGGGAACUCAUGGGAUACUGCCGGGGUCAACUCGGAGGAAGGUGGGGAUGACGUCAAAUCAUCAUGCCCCUUAUGUCUUGGGCUUCACGCAUGCUACAAUGGCCGGUACAAAGGGCUGCAAUACCGUGAGGUGGAGCGAAUCCCGAAAAAGCCGGUCCCAGUUCGGAUUGAGGUCUGCAACUCGACCUC
rnacentral:rRNA from 1 species